GAUGAACGCUAGCUACAGGCUUAACACAUGCAAGUCGCGGGGCAGCAUGGGGGUUUCUUUCAACCCCUGAUGGCGACCGGCGCACGGGUGAGUAACGCGUAUCCAACCUGCCCUUCACCACUGGAUAACCCGGCGAAAGGCGGACUAAUGCCGUAAGUUUUCCAUUGACGGCAUCCGAUUGAAACGAAGUGCUGGGCGGUUAAAGGAUGGGGCUGCGUCCGAUUUACUUGACGGCUGGGUAACGGCCCACCGUGGCUACGAUCGGUAGGGGUUCUUAGAGGAAGGUACACCACACUGGAACUGCGACCCGGUCCACACUCCUACGGGAGGCAGCAGUGAGGAAUAUUGGUCAAUGGGCGUAAGCCUGAACCAGCCAAGUAGCGUGCAGGAUGACGGCCCUAUGGGUUGUAAACUGCUUUUAUGCGGGGAUAAAGUGGCCCACGAGUGGGCUUUUGAAGGUACCGAAUGAAUAAGGACCGGCUAAUUACGUG
rnacentral:rRNA from 1 species